GUGGCUUAGAUACCCCGGUAGUCCACGCAGUAAACGAUGCCGACUAGGCGUGGGGGGACUUGACCCCUUCCGUGCCGAAGCUAACGCAUGAAGUCGGCCGCCUGGGGAGUACGGCCGCAAGGCUAAAACUCAAAGGAAUUGACGGGGGCCCGCACAAGCGGCGGAGCGUGUUCUUUAAUUCGUCGCAACGCGAAGAACCUUACCAGGGUUUGACAUUUCCCUGCAGGCCCGUGAAAGCGGGAGGCCUACGAGGGUGGGAAACAGGUGCUGCACGGCUGUCGCCAGCU
rnacentral:rRNA from 1 species